GACGAACGCUGGCGGCGUGCCUAAUACAUGCAAGUCGAACGCUUCUUUUUCCACCGGAGCUUGCUCCACCGGAAAAAGAGGAGUGGCGAACGGGUGAGUAACACGUGGGUAACCUGCCCAUCAGAAGGGGAUAACACUUGGAAACAGGUGCUAAUACCGUAUAACAAUCGAAACCGCAUGGUUUUGAUUUGAAAGGCGCUUUCGGGUGUCGCUGAUGGAUGGACCCGCGGUGCAUUAGCUAGUUGGUGAGGUAACGGCUCACCAAGGCCACGAUGCAUAGCCGACCUGAGAGGGUGAUCGGCCACAUUGGGACUGAGACACGGCCCAAACUCCUACGGGAGUCAGCAGUAGGGAAUCGUCGGCAAUGGACGAAAGUCUGACCGAGCAACGCCGCGUGAGUGAAGAAGGUUUUCGGAUCGUAAAACUCUGUUGUUAGAGAAGAACAAGGAUGAGAGUAACUGUUCAUCCCUUGACGGUAUCUAACCAGAAAGCCACGGCUAACUACGUGCCAGCCGCCGCGGUAA
rnacentral:rRNA from 1 species